GUUGAUGAUGAUUUAACCUAGUAGUUGAGGUGUAGCUGGCUCCGAUUCCCUGUUUAAGGGAGAACCUACUCGGGUCCACUAUACUAUUAGUGAAAUUAAGGGAUUUAUCUGAGAC